GAUGAACGCUGGCGGCGUGCCUAAUACAUGCAAGUCGAGCGAACAGACGAGGAGCUUGCUCCUCUGACGUUAGCGGCGGACGGGUGAGUAACACGUAGGUAACCUACCUAUAAGACUGGGAUAACUUCGGGAAACCGGAGCUAAUACCGGAUAACAUGUUGAACCGCAUGGUUCAACAGUGAAGGACGGUUUUGCUAUCACUUAUAGAUGGACCUGCGUCGCAUUAGCUAGUUGGUAAGGUAACGGCUUACCAAGGCAACGAUGCGUAGCCGACCUGAGAGGGUGAUCGGCCACACUGGAACUGAGACACGGUCCAGACUCCUACGGGAGGCAGCAGUAGGGAAUCUUCCGCAAUGGGCGAAAGCCUGACGGAGCAACGCCGCGUGAGUGAAGAAGGUCUUCGGAUCGUAAAACUCUGUUAUUAGGGAAGAACAAAUGUGUAAGUAACUAUGCACGUCUUGACGGUACCUAAUCAGAAAGCCACGGCUAACUACGUG
rnacentral:rRNA from 1 species